GGGAAAGUGACUCAGUGAUAGAGUGCUUGCCUUGCAUGUAUGAGGCCCUGGGUUCGAUUCCCCAGCACCA
rnacentral:tRNA from 1 species